CCCAAACUGGGAUUAGAUACCCCACUAUGCUCAGCCCUAAACAUAAAUAAUUCCCACAACAAAAUUAUUUGCCAGAGAACUACUAGCAAUAGCUUAAAACUCAAAGGACU
rnacentral:rRNA from 1 species